CCGAGGCAAUAAGAGCGGCGGCGGCGGCAGCGGCGGCAGCAGCUCCCGCAGCUCCUGCUCUGGUC
rnacentral:precursor_RNA from 1 species